CUGCCACAUAGAGGGAAGAAUGGAGUUGUUUGUUGGGUUUCAUAUGAGGUACUGGUGGACUGAAAGGUGUUCCUUGGAACCUGUCUAUGUUGAAAGGAGCGGUUGGAGAAGCGGUUCCUUCCUCUUCCAGCCCUUCCAAAAACCUUAGGGUUGAAUACUUUCCUCAGAGAUGACUGAGCCUUAUCAAGGAAGCUAAAUAAAUUGACAUAUUUAUUAAUGUCUUUAAUAAAG